rnacentral:rRNA from 1 species
CCUACGGGUGACAGCAGUGAGGAAUAUUGGUCAAUGGACGAGAGUCUGAACCAGCCAAGUAGCGUGAAGGAUGACUGCCCUAUGGGUUGUAAACUUCUUUUAUAUGGGAAUAAAACGUUCCACGUGUGGGAUUUUGUAUGUACCAUAUGAAUAAGGAUCGGCUAACUCCGUGCCAGCAGCCGCGGUAAUACGGAGGAUCCGAGCGUUAUCCGGAUUUAUUGGGUUUAAAGGGAGCGUAGGUGGAUUGUUAAGUCAGUUGUGAAAGUUUGCGGCUCAACCGUAAAAUUGCAGUUGAAACUGGCAGUCUUGAGUACAGUAGAGGUGAGCGGAAUUCGUGGUGUAGCGGUGAAAUGCUUAGAUAUCACGAAGAACUCCGAUUGCGAAGGCAGUUCACUGGACUGCAACUGACACUGAGGCUCGAAAGUGUGGGUAUCAAACAGGAUUAGAUACCCUUGUAGUC